rnacentral:rRNA from 1 species
GAUGAACGCUGGCGGCGUGCCUAAUACAUGCAAGUCGAGCGAACGGACGAGAAGCUUGCUUCUCUGAUGUUAGCGGCGGACGGGUGAGUAACACGUGGAUAACCUACCUAUAAGACUGGGAUAACUUCGGGAAACCGGAGCUAAUACCGGAUAAUAUUUUGAACCGCAUGGUUCAAAAGUGAAAGACGGUCUUGCUGUCACUUAUAGAUGGAUCCGCGCUGCAUUAGCUAGUUGGUAAGGUAACGGCUUACCAAGGCAACGAUGCAUAGCCGACCUGAGAGGGGGAUCGGCCACACUGGAACUGAGACACGGUCCAGACUCCUACGGGAGGCAGCAGUAGGGAAUCUUCCGCAAUGGGCGAAAGCCUGACGGGGCAACGCCGCGUGAGUGAUGAAGGUCUUCGGAUCGUAAAACUCUGUUAUUAGGGAAGAACAUAUGUGUAAGUAACUGUGCACAUCUUGACGGUACCUAAUCAGAAAGCCACGGCUAACUACGU